CAACACCGGUUCCCGUACGAUCACCGAAGUUAAGCAACGUUGAGCCUGGUCAUUAUCUAGACUGGUGACCGUUCGAGAAAAGCAGAUGCUGUAAG